CUGGCCCUGGGAGGACUUUUCUGAAUCCAGACCAGAGCUAGGAAGACCCAGUUGAGACAGCGGACACUAGAGCAGCCUGGAAGGGAACACCUGCCUACGAAGCCCCUAGGAGCAUGAGGUGUUUCCUCCCACAGCUUCCUGUCCUGCCCAGGGCUAAGAGGACAAGACUGGCAGAAGGACAACCAGCAAUGCUGAGGGACUGUGGCUCAAGGCACUGAUGUCAUUGCCUUGGGUUGCAGUUUUUCUUUUUUUGAAGGAGUCUAACUCUGUCACCUAGGCUGGAGUGCAGUGGAGCAAUUGCGGCUCACUGCAGCCUCAACUUCCUGGGCUCAAGCAAUCCUCCCACCUCAGCCUCAUGAGUAGCUUGGACUACAGUGCCCGAGGGGCAAAACUGCAGCAGAGUGGCUCCUGUAUCCUCAGCACUCAACAUGGACCCCGUUGUUGGUGUUCAAGAAACAUUUGAGGAGCUGCACUUACUUGGAAUGAGAAAAAGUUACACCCAUGACCUCCAGUCUGUCCCUUCAGGAGAUAAAGCGAGUCUGUGACAUGGCCACAGAUGCCUGCAGUCCCAGCCCCCUGGCCAGAAGCAUUUCUGUAGGUUACAGCUGAGAGCCUUCAGCCAGGUCAGUAUGAAAUGAAAAUGAAAAGCUCAUAUUUUGUUGUUUUUUUUUUUUUGAGGAGGGAGAGGGUAUAUUAACGGCAUUCUUCAGUAAUGAUAAGAAUAUGUUUCUUUUCUUUUUUUUAAGACAGGGUCUCUCUCUCUGUCACCCAGGCUGGACUGCACUGGCAUGAUCUUGGCUCACUGCAACCUCUGCUCCCCAGGCUCAAGUGAUCCUCCUACCUCAGCCUCCCAAAGUGCUGG
rnacentral:lncRNA from 1 species